rnacentral:rRNA from 1 species
GUCCACGCCGUAAACGAUGGGUGCUAGGCGUCGCGGGUAUUGACCCCUGCGGUGCCGUAGCUAACGCAUUAAGCACCCCGCCUGGGGAGUACGGCCGCAAGGCUAAACUCAAAGGAAUUGACGGGGCCCGCACAAGCGGUGGAGCAUGUGGUUCAAUUCGACGCAACGCGAAGAACCUUACCGGGGUUAGAAACCUACGGAAUCCUGACGAAAGUCGGGCGUGCCCGCAAGGGAGCCGUAGCCUAGGUGCUGCAUGGCUGUCGU